UACGAAAUGUGCCAGAGUUGUCCGGAUUCACUGGGUGUAAAGGGUGCGCAGGCUGGCUCUUAAGUCAAAGGUGAAAUCUCUCGGCUUAACCGAGAAAUUGCCUUUGAUACUGAGAGCCUUGAGUACGGGAGAUGGAGAUAGAAUUCCAGGUCUAGUGGUGAAAUGCGUAGAUAUCUGGAGGAACACCGGAGGCGAAGGCGGUCUCCUGGCCCGUUACUGACGCUCAGGCAAGAAAGCGUGGGGAGCAAACAGG
rnacentral:rRNA from 1 species